rnacentral:rRNA from 1 species
CCUACGGGUGGCAGCAGUGGGGAAUAUUGGACAAUGGGGGCAACCCUGAUCCAGCCAUGCCGCGUGUGUGAAGAAGGCCCUCGGGUUGUAAAGCACUUUCAGUGAGGAAGAACGCCUGGUGGUUAAUACCCAUCAGGAAAGACAUCACUCACAGAAGAAGCACCGCCUAACUCCGUGCCAGCAGCCGCGGUAAUACGGAGGGUGCGAGCGUUAAUCGGAAUCACUGGGCGUAAAGCGCGCGUAGGUGGCUUGAUAAGCCGGUUGUGAAAGCCCCGGGCUCAACCUGGGAACGGCAUCCGGAACUGUCAAGCUAGAGUGCAGGAGAGGAAGGUAGAAUUCCCGGUGUAGCGGUGAAAUGCGUAGAGAUCGGGAGGAAUACCAGUGGCGAAGGCGGCCUUCUGGACUGACACUGACACUGAGGUGCGAAAGCGUGGGUAGCAAACAGGAUUAGAUACCCCAGUAGUC